AUUGUCAUCCCGUCUUCAAGAAUACAAAUCUGCUGGAAUAAGGAGCGAGCCCCUGUUGACACAUACAUAAUGGGAUUAGCUACAAGCAUACGUGAACGAAAUGAUUAUGAAGAACAAGCAAUUUGACACCAAAGUGUCGAGCAACUCCUGCUUGUUGGUAGGAUGUUGGAGGGGACAACAAAGCUUCCUUGGAAUUUUUCACACCAUCCUGCGACCAGUGGCACUUUUUUCACUCUUGUGCUUCUAGGCCUCAAGUACUGCUCUUGCCAGUUUCGGGGCAAUCUACAAAAAUUUCAAAUGGGGUUUCAGCUGCUGGAAGAUCGGAUUUAUAGGCAAGCAUGGAAUCAAUGAUGAGAAAUCGAGAACUAAGCGAAACAACGACGAUGUAGGCUCUAAGAGAGGAGGUAGAAUCUGUUGAGCGAAGAGCAGAAGAGAAGCGUGCUGCAUAUAUUGCUACCAAAAUGGUCUCUAACUUGAAUUAUUUAUUUCUCAAGUUUCGAUGUUCUCCACUAUUUUAGUGAUUUUGUGAUCGGUAGAAUAGGUUGCUAUGGAAAGAAAAGUGGAAUUGGAGCAUGGAGCAGUUGAGUCAUCCACUGCGCUUUCAAGGAUAUAACUAAUGUAAGCGCUUAGUGUGGUUUAACUUUUAAAUGAAGUGUAAAACAUAUUAAAGCACUAUUUUUUCGUUUGGUUUUUGCCAUAUGUCAUUAAGUUUAUAUCAUGAUUGAAUUGGCAACAUAAUUGUAGACAUACUACAUGCUUGUCAAGUUGUCUAUGCAGCUAAAAAUUCUGGAUAUGAACUUUGUAAUCUACAGCUUGUACGGAAUAAGCACAU